CGUAGGGUGCGAGCGUUAAUCGGAAUUACUGGGCGUAAAGCGUGCGCAGGCGGUUAUAUAAGACAGAUGUGAAAUCCCCGGGCUCAACCUGGGAACUGCAUUUGUGGCUGUAUAGCUAGAGUACGGCAGAGGGGGAUGGAAUUCCGCGUGUAGCAGUGAAAUGCGUAGAUAUGCGGAGGAACACCGAUGGCGAAGGCAAUCCCCUGGGCCUGUACUGACGCUCAUGCACGAAAGCGUGGGGAGCAAACAGGAUUAGAUACCCUGGUAGUCCACGCCCUAAACGAUGUCAACUGGUUGUUGGGUCUUCACUGACUCAGUAACGAAGCUAACGCGUGAAGUUGACCGCCUGGGGAGUACGGCCGCAAGGUUG
rnacentral:rRNA from 1 species